UGGAUUGAUGGUGACUGCUGGUCGCGUGUGAGUCGUAUACGAUAAAUAUGUGUCUCGAGCUUGGAGAUCCAU
ensembl:snoRNA